UACAUACAAGUAGUAGGGAAAGGAAACUAGGACGGACCCUUCCGGGGAGGCUUGAACAGGUGCUGCAUGGCUGUCGUCAGCUCGUGUCGUGAGGAUGUUCGGUUAAGUCCGCUAACGAGCGCAACCCUCGCUGUGUGUUACAAGUGUCACACGGAACUGCCGGUCAUAAACCGGAGGAAGGUGGGGAUGACGUCAAGUCAGCAUGGCCUUUAUAUCCUGGGCUACACACACGCUACAAUGGGAAGGGACAAUAGGUUGCGAAGCCGCGAGGCGGAGCCAAUCCAGCAAAACUUCCCUCAGUUCAGAUUGCAGGCUGCAACUCGCCUGCAUGAAGUUGGAGUUGCUAGUAAACGCAGGUCAGCCAUACUGCGUUGAAUACGUUCCCGGGGCUU
rnacentral:rRNA from 1 species